AAUAUAUAAUCGAAGAUUGCAUGCUGUUCCUAUAUCUUCCAGAAAUUGUCUCGAGCAAAAUAUAUCAAGAGAUGGUUUCAUGAAAUAAAGAACACUGCAGAGGAUUGAACCGUGGAUGCAAAGGGCUACAGACCAUCCAUGAGGACCCAGAUCCAUCCGUUAUUGUUCAUCUUGCCUCCUCUCUUUUUGUUGCAAGCCUUGGAAUCAAGUCCGAUGCUCAGUCAGGACAGCUUGGUGUUGAAGACAACUUUCUUGAACGGUUGCAACCGUUUUUGCGUGGUUGAGCCAACACGAUUUGGCAUGAGCUGAAAUGUUUUGCAGAAAGCUUCUUACCAUGGAAACAUAUGACGCAGUAGUGGUUGAGUACAACCAAAACAGCCACAACUAACGCC